ensembl:rRNA 5S_rRNA 5S ribosomal RNA
CCAGGAAGCCGAAAGCUUGCUCUCUGCAAUUCUCAUAUCGUCUCCCACUAAACCUAAGCAGGGCUGCGCCUGGUCAGUACCUGGAUGGGAGACCACAUGAGAAAGCCAGGUUGCCCCUGGA